CAGCAGCCGCGGUAAUACAUAGGGUGCAAGCGUUGUCCGGAAUUAUUGGGCGUAAAGAGCUCGUAGGUCGUUUGUUACGUCGGAUGUGAAAACCUGAGGCUCAACCUCAGGCCUGCAUUCGAUACGGGCAAACUAGAGUUUGGUAGGGGAGACUGGAAUUCCUGGUGUAGCGGUGGAAUGCGCAGAUAUCAGGAGGAACACCAAUGGCGAAGGCAGGUCUCUGGGCCAAUACUGACACUGAGGAGCGAAAGUCUGGGGAGCGAACAGGAUUAGAUACCCUGGUAGUCCAGACCGUAAACGGUGGGCACUAGUUGUGGGAACCUUCCACGGUUUUUUGCGACGCAGCUAACGCAUUAAGUGCCCCGCCUGGGAAGUACGG
rnacentral:rRNA from 1 species